GGAUUAGAUACCCUGGUAGUCCACGCUGUAAACGAUGAUCACUCGUUGUUGGCGAUACACUGUCAGCGACCAAGCGAAAGCGUUAAGUGAUCCACCUGGGGAGUACGGUCGCAAGAUUGAAACUCAAAGGAAUUGACGGGGGCCCGCACAAGCGGUGGAGCAUGUGGUUUAAUUCGAUGAUACGCGAGGAACCUUACCAAGGCUUAAAUGUAGAUUGACCAACCGGGAAACUGGUUUUCUCUUCGGAGCAAUUUACAAGGUGCUGCAUGGUUGUCGUCAGCUCGUGCCG
rnacentral:rRNA from 1 species